UCCCACUUUUUAACCUUUCUCAUGCAACUCCUCCCCACUUUUUCGCUGCAACUCCUCCUCGCUUUUCCUCUUCUUCUACUCUUUUUAACUCUUACCAUUUCCGUGCACAUAAAAAACGAAAAGCUGCCAUCUAUUUCUAAGAAGCCAAAAGGGGAUCGAAGAUUAACAUACAAUUGCUGACAAGUAAGAGGCUAUGUUCACCAACUACAAGAACAACACCGAAUUGCGUCAUUGCUCAAUUUGUUAGAACGUUUGAUUUCACUUCUCCAUUAAUUCAACACAAUGAUUUUGAUCAAAGUAAAAAAUUUGGUUCAUCAACGUUUGGUUUCAGUGCUCAUCUACUGCUCAAAGGUCAGUUCUAAUAUAAGUUGCAUCCGCAUAUCAGUACAUUAUGUUCGCAUAAGUCAAAAUUUUUGCAAUUUUUCUUCCUCCAUUUCAACCCAUAUAAAAAGUAGGACGUGAGUAUCUUCUAGGUGGUAAUGCGUUG